CGCACAGUAAACGAUGACAACUGGCUGUCGGCGAUAUACCGAUCGGUAGCGAAGCGAAAGCGUUAAGUUGUCCACCUGGGGAGUACGACCGCAAGGUUGAAACUCAAAGGAAUUGACGGGGGCCCGCACAAGCGGAGGAACAUGUGGUUUAAUUCGAUGAUACGCGAGGAACCUUACCCGGGCUCAAACGGAAGAGGAGCGUGCGUGAAAGCGUGCGGUCCGCAAGGACCUCUUCCGAGGUGC
rnacentral:rRNA from 1 species